AUGGCUUCUGGGGUGAUGUUGGCUGCUAGCUUUGAUCUUAUACAAGAAGGGCAGGAACAUGGUGCGGGAAAUUGGGUUGUAAUUGGGAUUUUAGCUGGUGGAAUUUUUAUUUGGCUUUGUAAGAAGUUUCUUGAACAGUAUGGUGAAGUGAGUAUGUUAGAUAUAAAAGGUGCAGAUGCAACUAAAGUUGUUCUUAUAAUUGGGAUAAUGACUCUUCAUUCAUUUGGUGAGGGCUCUGGUGUUGGUGUUUCUUUUGCUGGGUCAAAGGGGUUCUCUCAAGGUCUUUUGGUGACGUUAGCUAUCGCUGUGCAUAACAUACCCGAGGGAUUAGCUGUAAGUAUGGUACUUGCCUCAAGGGGUGUCUCACCACAGAAUGCCUUGUUAUGGAGUGUGAUUACAUCAUUA
rnacentral:misc_RNA from 1 species